rnacentral:rRNA from 1 species
UACGGAGGAUGCGAGCGUUAUCCGGAUUUAUUGGGUUUAAAGGGUGCGCAGGCGGCGUGUCAAGUCAGCGGUAAAAUGUCGGGGCUCAACCCCGGCCGGCCGUUGAAACUGGCGUGCUCGAGUUGGAGAGAAGUAUGCGGAAUUCGUGGUGUAGCGGUGAAAUGCAUAGAUAUCACGAAGAACCCCGAUUGCGAAGGCAGCAUACCGGCUCCACACUGACGCUGAGGCACGAAAGCGUGGGUAUCGAGCAGG